rnacentral:lncRNA from 1 species
GUCUCUCUGUGCUGCACACGGAGCUGGGGCUCGGAAAUGGGAACGGCGAUUUAUAAGCUCUCGGGCAAAGUCAACUUUCAGGUGAAGAAAACCCGCAUCCCCGAGGGUAAAUACAUUUGUCACUCUUACUGCCGGGACCUGGUGCAUCUGGAUUAUCCACCAAAUGGGAAAUUACCAAACUGCAUGCCCCCCUGUGAAGCAAGACAGUCAAGCCAAAAGCACCCUCAGGUAGGUGCCAUGCGGUGCUCACUGUGGUCUGGGUUUGGGGCAGUGCCAUGGCUCGUGUGCCAGUAGAAUGGUCUCCUUACCCCCAGGGCUCACGUGUGUAUCCUCUUCACAAGCUCUCGUUCAUGCGCAUUCUUUGCCAUCAUUCCUUUCCCCAGCACCUGUUGCAUCCAAAGCUGAACCAUGGGUUGUGAUUUUAGAAAUAACAGGAUAGGAGUUCUCGUCAUGGCGCAGUGGUUAAUGAAUCCGACUAGAAACCAUGAGGUUGCGGGUUUCAUCCUUGCUCAGUGGGUUAAGGAUCUGGCAUUGCCGUGAGCUGUGGUGUAGGUUGCAGACGCAGCUUGGACCCUCGUUGCUGUGGCUGUGGUGUAGGCUGGUGGCUGCAGCUCCGAUUCGACCCCUAGCCUGGGAACCUCCAUAUGCCACUGGAGCAGCCUAAGAAAUGGCAAAAAGACAAAAAAAAAAAGAAAAAGAAAAAAGAAAGAAAGAACAGGAUAGAAUGUGCCGAUAGGUUACCCAACAGCCUUGGGAUAAGAUACAAGGAGUUGCGCUGUAUGGUUAUUGGUCCACGUGCCGGAUGAGGUCUGGUUGGCAGGUGUACUCACUGCCGAUAAAAUAGGACUUGAACUUUGAAUGUGUGUGUUGGUGGUUUCCUCAGCUGGUAAAGCACCUCAGGGCGAACACUGUGUUCAGGAAUCCACCCUUUUUCACGGAUUCCCUUAAAGCAAGGUUCUCCAAUUCAUCUGUCAUGAUCUGUUUCUAAUUGGUCUUCAGCCUGGUUUCUGCCAAACCUCCUUUCUCGCUGUUCUUCCUGGUUUGCUGAAAUGCCUGAAGAAAGGGGUUACCGCUGGCAGUGAAGCCCACUCCUCUGCAAACUUGACUGUUGCUAGCAUCUUCUCCCCUGACAUGUCAAGAUUUUUCUCAAAAAGUCAGCUUUUGAAGUUCCCUUUGUGGCGCAGUGGAAACGAAUUCGACUAGUAUCCUUGAGGAGGCAGGUAUGAUCCCUGGCCUCACUCAGUGGGUCAGGGUUCCGGUGUUGCUGUGAGCUGUGGUGUGGGUCCCAGAUGUGGCCUGGAUCCUUCGUGGCUGUGACUGUGGUGUAGGCCAGCAGCUGUAGCUCGGAUUCGACCCCUAGUCUGGGAACGUCCAUAUGCUGCAAGUGUGGCCCUAAAAAGCAAAAAGCAAAAAAAGUCAGCUUUUAUUCCCCUAGAAAGUGUGGGGGGGGGAGCUGUGGCAUUAAAUGAUCUUUGAGUGUCUAGUCAAUUUCUGGAAGCUCAUUUUUGUGUCUGACUACUGACUAGGACGGCCAAAGUCAGGAGGCAAAAUUCAUCUUUCCUUCACAUGUGAAAGAGGCUAUUUUUCAGUUUGGGGCCAAGAGGCUGAUUGGCCACAGCCCUGGACUGACCAAUGCUGAGCAUAAAAGACCAGAUCCCUGGUUUUGCCACUUGUUUUUCCCGUAACAAAGUUAACUCUUGAUUAGAGUGGUAAUAGCCGUUGUGAUGGGUUUGUUCAGCGUGUGUGGCUCACAUCUGCUAAAUUCCCAUUCAACUUAAUUGCCCUUGGCAGGGGCAUAGGCAAUGAAUGUGGAGUUUAUAAAGGGCAGGAAAAACAGCUUUUCUGGCAAACUGAUGGCUUCAUUUUAAUUAGUGACUGAUGUGACUUUUACCACUGGAGCCUCUUGGAGGUCCUGCAAAGCUGUAACAGCUUUAAAACUCACUCCAGAAAAUGCCUUCAUCUCCAAAAGAAAAGCUUGGAUGAGGGAUGCAGUUUGUCAUUUAAUACGAUGACUUUGGAGUGAGCGAAGAGAAUAAUAGAGGUAUUGUGAGACACUCUAGGCAGAACAAAUAAAUGCUUGUUCCACUUGGGGAAAAAAGAUGUAGAGUUCAAGUGUAAGCUUUAAACAGAUUCUUUAGGAAGUUUCUCAAAAGGGACCUGAAUCACCAAGGCUUGGCUAAUUUAUAUGUGUUUCUUACAUAGAAUUUUAAACAGUAACCCUGAGCUCUCCUAUGUGGCUCUAAAUUUUUAGAAAAUGAUAAAGUAAUUUGAUAUUUAACUGAGUUCAAUGUUUUUAAAAUACGUGCUUAUAGAGUAAUAGUUAUUUUUUUUUCUGCUGUGCCCGUGGCAUGUGGAAGUUCCCAGGCCAGGGAUCAACCCUGUGUUGCAGCAGUGACCUGGGCCACUGCAAUAACAAUGCAGAAUCUGUAAUUUGCUGAGUCCCAAGAGAACGCCUCCAUUAUUUUUAAAUUGUAGAAUUUAAGAUUUAGAAGUUGUUGUUUUGGGGAGACCCAGAUUUGGUUUGCCAUAUAGUUCCCAGGCUAAGGGGCCAACUGGAGCCGUAGCUGCCAGCCUAUGCCACAGCCACAGCAACACCAGAUCCGAGCUACCUUGACAACCUGUGCCACAGCUUGUGGCAGUGCCGGAUCCUUAACCCACUGAGCAAGGCCAGGGAUUGAACCCACAUCCUCAUAGACACUAUGCUGGAUUCUUAACCCAUUGAGCCACAAUAGGAACUCCAGGAAUNUUUUUUUUUUUUUUUUUAGUUUUUUUAGGGCUGCACCUGAGGCAUAUGGAAUUUACUAGGCUAGGGUUGAAUCCGAGCUGCAGACCUGCCAGAUCCAAGCUGUGUCUGCGAUCUACACUACAGCUCACAGCAACACCAGAUCCUUAACCCACUGAGCGAGGCCAGGGAUUGAACCUGCCUCCUCAUGGAUACCAGUUGGAUUCUUAACCCUCUGAGCCAUGACAGGAACACCCCACCCCCACCCAGAUUUUUUUAAUUAAAGAAAAUCUCUCAGGGAGACGGAGGGAAUGGAAUGGACUGGGAGUUUGGGGUUCAUAGACACAAACUAUGGCAUUUGGAGUAAGCAAUGAGAUCCUGCUGUAUAUAUAGUACAGGGAACUAUAUCUAGUCUCUUGUGAUAGAACAUGAUAGAGGAUAAUGUGAGAAAAAGAAUAUAUGCAUAUGUAUGACUUCUUCACUUUGCUGUACAGUAGAAAUUGACAGAACACUGUAAAUCAAUAUAAUGCAAAAAAUAAAAAUCGUUUUAAAAAAAGAGAGAAAAAAAUAGAAACAACAAAAAAAUACAGAAAAUUUCUCUAUGUUAUAAAUGCCCAUACUGGGAAGGCCACUCUAGCAUAUAAUUUCCUGAAUGUACAUUUAGGAGAUAAUGAUAUGGACUUCACAUGAGAUUAUGAGAAUUAAAAUUUUUGUUUUAUUUUGUUUUGUUUGUUUUUUUGCUUUUUAGGGCUGUGCCUGUGGCAUAUGGAGGUUCCCAGGCCAGGGGUUGAAUCAGAGCUGUAGCUGCUGUCUUACACCACAGCCACAGCAACUCAGGAUCCGAGCCGCGUCUGUGACCUACACCACAGCUCAUGGCAACACAGGAUACUUAACCCACUGAGCAAGGCCA